GUUGCCGCCAUUGAUUCAGGCAUGCAGUCGUACGAAUCCCGUGGGGGGUACUCGCGGGGGAGUGCGAAGGGCAGUAGGCAUGGGUAACCUGCCCGGACUCGGAAUAGCCUCCCUAACGGGUGGAUAAUACCGAAUGGCCGUGCCGAGGGGGCAUCCCCUUGGCACGAAAGCUCCGGCGGUCCGGGAGGGGCUCAUGUGGUAUUAGCUAGUUGGUGAGGUAACGGCUCACCAAGGCGAAGAUGCCUAGCGGGUGUGAGAGCACGACCCGCGCCACUGGCACUGUGACACUGGCCAGACUCCUACGGGAGGCUGCAGUCGAGGAUCUUCGGCAAUGGGCGAAAGCCUGACCGAGCGAUGCCGCGUGUGCGAUGAAGGCCUUCGGGUUGUAAAGCACUGUCGUGGGGUAGAAAGGGGCAACCCUGAUCGACCCCAGGAGGAAGCUCGGGCUAAGUUCGUGCCAGCAGCCGCGGUAAGACGAACCGAGCGAACGUUAUUCGGAAUCAUUGGGCUUAAAGGGCGCGUAGGCGGGCCUCCAAGUCAGGGGUGAAAUCCCACGGCUCAACCGUGGAAGAGCCUUUGAUACUGGGGGCCUCGAGCGAGGUAGGGGCGUGCGGAACUUCCGGUGGAGCGGUGAAAUGCGUAGAUAUCGGAAGGAACACCGGUGGCGAAAGCGGCACGCUGGACCUCUCCUGACGCUGAGGCGCGAAAGCUAGGGGAGCAAACGGGAUUAGAUACCCCGGUAGUCCUAGCCCUAAACGAUGGGCACUAGAUUGUAGACUUACAUGGGUUUACAGUCGAAGCAAAAGUGUUAAGUGCCCCGCCUGGGGAGUAUGGUCGCAAGGCUGAAACUCAAAUGAAUUGACGG
rnacentral:rRNA from 1 species